AGAGGGGAAGGGUCUGAGGACACUAAGGGGGAGAGAGACCAUUAGCAGGAAGUGCAAGCAAAAAGACGGAGCUGCUUUUCAGAGGCUGGGUCUCGGUGCUUCAGAGAAUGCUCCUGGAUGAGGUCAUCCUAUGUCCUCCAAUUUACAGUACUAAAACCCUAUUUUCUUACUCUAGUUACAGAUUUGCCAGUUGUACAGUCCAGGAACAUCUUCCUCAAUGACUUGGGACCUUUGAAAUGUAAUCAUCAAUAUUGGAGGAACCAGGCUAAAUAAUAUCCCUGAAAGGAAGAACCACUGGAACAGAAAAGGGUCCUCUAAUUUUAAGCCCGGGGUGCAAAGCAUGGAUUUAAUUCAUCCAUAGGAGCAAAGAGAAAGAAUCAUCAAUGCCUCUCUGAGCCUUGUAGACAAUGAAUAUGAAGAAUCAGAUUGAUGAUGGAAAUUCCCUCAAAUGAUCCACGCACCUCCUGUGAGCACGAGGACCCUGUUUCCCUCUGCACAGCUUCACCUCGGAAUGGUUCCUAUAUACUUUUCCCGUCUGCUAUAAUUCUCUGAGAGAAGUAGCAGUGGCGAGAGGACGAGGAAUGAGGGGAAGUACGAAAAGGCUAAGCACGAAGGAAGGAGGAAGAAUGCUAAUUGUCCGUGAUGCUAGGGAAUUAUUUCACAGAAUGCAGUGAACUUAUCCAUGAGAUUGCUUGUCCUACACGUGCUUUAUGUGGGUAGAAAGUUAAAUAUUAUUUUGCAUGAACAGCAUUGUGGUACUAGUCAGAUUGCUUUGAUGAUUUAUUCUCGACUUGGCCAACAUAGCCUGGCACGUGAGAAACUGUCCUCUCAGCAGCCAUAAAUUUUCUAAAAGUUUCAUUUCAUUUUAGGGAGAAAAUUAAGUGUCCACUCCAACAGUAAUAAGAAAGAAUAAAUCCCAUUUUAGGCACAUAUUUCUUGCUGUGAGCUUAUAAAUACAAUCUUUACCAGCCUGUUUCUCUCUUUAUGGUGAAUUAAUUUUGAGUCGCGGCUUUGAGGUAUGCGGAGUAGGCACAGGUCCAUAGAAAGAAAAGCAAAAAAAAGGAUAUGUCUCAGAGACAGUUUCUUUUCCUAAGAUCGCCCACAUGUGUACGUCCUGGCCGAUAUCCGGCGGUGCUUAUUAGCAGAUUGGUAGGCUGGGGCCGCAUCGACGAUCCUGCGCUUAAACUGCAACGGCCUUAUGGGGACCGUUGGCCUUGUCCUCGGGCUCCUGGCAGCCCAGGGCAAACUUUUAUUUCCAGGCAUCUGCUCGCCCCUUAAUUCGUGAUUAUCAUUCCGGGGGCAGCCAGGGCCGGGAGCAGCGGCUCUAAAUCCCCACUUCGGACAAGCAUCUAAAUGAUGAAACCUCAUCGGUGACUGACGGCUCCGCAGAAGGGUGAUUUCUGGCGGUGUCACAUCCUUCGCCUGUGAUUGAGGAGACACAAACCAGCAGCAUUUCGCUGCAAUAACCAACAUAAUGAAUUGUCCUAUUGUAUUUUCCUUUUCUUUGUUUCCUUCUCAAUUUUGGGAACGCUUCAGUCUGGACCCCUAGAGGCAGUUUUUCUCUUAUUAACAAUAGCACGGACAGUCACACAAAUUAGGCUGUAAUAUUGGAUUAUCCCUCAUUUUAUUAGGCAUGAAGAUAUUACAUAAAGUGGGCUUAAAUGCCGAGAAUUUAAGGCCACGUUUAACUCCUGAGAACUGCAUGACACUGGCAAUGUUUCUAUUACAUUUCAAAGUUCUUUUUUUAAAUUUUUGUUUCUGUUUGUUUUUUAAAUUUCAAGAUUUAAAACUUCAGUGGCAGCAUUGUAAAAUCUGUUUGCAUGCACCGAGGGGUCAGUGCUCCUGGGUCCCUUGCUUGCUGUAUGUCAGGCAGGUCAUCUUGAGGAGUUCGGAGGGUUUGGGUAACGGACGCCAAACAUAAUGAUGCUGUUGAUGGCCCAGGUGAGGCCCGGCGGCCCCUCCACGGACCUGGAGGGGAGGCCUCCUGGAAAUGGUCCCCAGGUGCCCACCGUCCUGAUGGCCAGUGACGCCACCAGAGCCAGCGCAUCUGUGGACACAGGGUCCGGCCCAGGCCCGGCCUCUCUGAGUGUCACCGCGCAACAGCUUGGGCCUCAGGACGCCGGAGGCAGAGACGCCAGUGACGGUCGACAAGCCAAGGAAGGACCAUGGUAUCACCGACCCAGGACUGGGGCAACCUGCGACACUCUAUACAGAGUCACGGAGGUGUGUGACCUAGCAGAAUGGUUAAAAUGAAAAACAAAUGGAAACCGGCCUAGGAAAACUCUGGAGCAGAUAAAACCAGUUUCAUCCAACAAACAAAGCUUAAUUUAGUCUGUUUUCCAGACUGACUUGAUCUGGGUCAGUGUUGCCUCUGCCUCUGGAAAACGUGAGAAAAUUUCAAACUGUUUCUGAGACUGAUUUCAGGUAACCAUUAAUCAAUUCUUUAUCGUUUAAGAAAAUUCUAAUAUUAUAAGCUCUGAGCUCUCCUGUCUUGCGUUCCUGCCUGUGAACACAGCGUGCACCAAACCCCCAAAGAACCGGCCUGUGGCUCGCUACAGUCGGUGUGUCUCAAAUUCCGAAUCCUAUUCUGUUCCCCAAGAAACUUCUCUUUUUUGACGACUUGGAGUUUGCCUCUGUUUAUGUCAUUAUUUAGGUUGACAGGAUGAAAAGUAAAAUAGACACUAACUUUUCCUUUUUUUUUUUU